UCGGGUAUGGUGUAACGGCUAACAUUGCCGCCUCUCAUUCAUCAGAUCGCGGCAGCUCGGGGUUCGAUUCCCCGUACCCGAA